rnacentral:rRNA from 1 species
UGAGUAUGUUUGAGGUAGGCGGAAUGCGUGGUGUAGCGGUGAAAUGCAUAGAUAUCACGCAGAACUCCGAUUGCGAAGGCAGCUUGCCAAGCCAUAACUGACACUGAAGCACGAAAGCGUGGGUAUCAAACAGGAUUAGAUACCCUGGUAGUCCACGCAGUAAACGAUGAUUACUAGGAGUUUGCGAUAAAAUGUAAGCUCUACAGCGAAAGCGUUAAGUAAUCCACCUGGGGAGUACGCCGGCAACGGUGAAACUCAAAGGAAUUGACGGGGGCCCGCACAAGCGGAGGAACAUGUGGUUUAAUUCGAUGAUACGCGAGGAACCUUACCCGGGUUUGAACGCAGUCCGACCGCCGAUGAAAGUCGGCUUCUAGCAAUAGCGGAUUGCGAGGUGCUGCAUGGUUGUCGUCAGCUCGUGCCGUGAGGUGUCGGCUUAAGUGCCAUAACGAGCGCAACCCUUGCCGUUAGUUACUAACAAGUAGCGUUGAGGACUCUAGCGGGACUGCCAGCGUAAGCUGUGAGGAAGGCGGGGAUGACGUCAAAUCAGCACGGCCCUUACAUCCGGGGCGACACACGUGUUACAAUGGCGUGGACAAAGAGCAGCCACUUGGUGACAAGGAGCUAAUCUCCAAACCACGUCUCAGUUCGGAUCGGAGUCUGCAACUCGACUCCGUGAAGCUGGAUUCGCUAGUAAUCGCGCAUCAGCCAUGGCGCGGUGAAUACGUUCCCGGGCCUUGUACACACCGCCCGUCAAGCCAUGGGAGCCGGGGGUGCCUGAAGUCCGUAACCGCGAGGAUCGGCCUAGGGUAAAACUGGUGACUGGGGCUAAGUCGUAACAAGGUAACCA